UACGUAGGUCCCGAGCGUUGUCCGGAUUUAUUGGGCGUAAAGCGAGCGCAGGUGGAUUGUUAAGUCAGUUGUGAAAGUUUGCGGCUCAACCGUAAAAUUGCAGUUGAAACUGGCAGUCUUAAGUACAGUAGAGGUGGGCGGAAUUCGUGGUGUAGCGGUGAAAUGCCUAGAUAUCACGAAGAACUCCGAUUGCGAAGGCAGCUCACUGGACUGCAACUGACACUGAGGCUCGAAAGUGUGGGUAUCAAACAGG
rnacentral:rRNA from 1 species